rnacentral:rRNA from 1 species
UACGUAGGGCGCAAGCGUUGUCCGGAAUUAUUGGGCGUAAAGAGCGUGUAGGCGGCUCGGUAAGUCCGCUGUAAAAGUCCAGGGCUCAACCCUGGAAAGCCGGUGGAAACUGUCGAGCUAGAGUCCGGAAGAGGCGAGUGGAAUUCCUGGUGUAGCGGUGAAAUGCGCAGAUAUCAGGAGGAACACCAAUGGCGAAGGCAGCUCGCUGGGACGGUACUGACGCUGAGACGCGAAAGCGUGGGGAGCAAACAGG